GACAGUUUGGCCGAGUGGUUAAGGCGAUAGACUCGAAUCAGUUUUCUUUCUAUAGCUGCAGUAAUGCGCUGAAAUUCCACUGUCGAUAUCUAUUGGGUUCGCCCGCACAGGUUCAAAUCCUGUAGCUGUCG
rnacentral:tRNA from 1 species